rnacentral:rRNA from 1 species
UAAGGAAUAUUGCGCAAUGGGGGAAACCCUGACGCAGCAACGCCGCGUGGAGGAUGACACUUUUCGGAGCGUAAACUCCUUUUAUCAGGAAAGAAUAAUGACGGUACCUGAUGAAUAAGCACCGGCUAACUCCGUGCCAGCAGCCGCGGUAAUACGGGGGGUGCAAGCGUUACUCGGAAUCACUGGGCGUAAAGGACGCGUAGGCGGAUUAUCAAGUCUUUUGUGAAAUCUAGUGGCUUAACCACUAAACUGCUUAGGAAACUGAUAGACUAGAGUAGGGGAGAGGUAGAUGGAAUUCUUGGUGUAGGGGUAAAAUCCGUAGAGAUCAAGAAGAAUACCCAUUGCGAAAGCGAUCUGCUGGAACCUAACUGACGCUGAGGCGUGAAAGCGUGGGUAGCAAACAGG